CCUACGGGAGGCUGCAGUAGGGAAUCUUUCACAAUGGGCGAAAGCCUGAUGGAGCAACGCCGCGUGCAGGAUGAAGGCCUUCGGGUUGUAAACUGCUUUUAUAAGCGAGAAAUAUGAUGGUAACUUAUGAAUAAGGAUCGGCUAACUACGUGCCAGCAGCCGCGGUCAUACGUAGGAUCCGAGCAUUAUCCGGAGUGACUGGGUGUAAAGAGUUGCGUAGGUGGCAUAAUAAGUAGCUAGUGAAAUCUGGUGGCGCAACCAUUCAGACUAUUAGCUAAACUGUUAAGCUCGAGACCGUUAGGGGUAACUGGAAUGUCUAGUGUAGGAGUGAAAUCCGUAGAUAUUAGAAGGAACACCAAUAGCGUAGGCAGGUUGCUGGGACGGUUCUGACACUAAGGCACGAAAGCGUAGGGAGCAAACGGGAUUAGAUACCCCAGUAGUC
rnacentral:rRNA from 1 species